AGUGAACCGGGAUGAGCUCAAAUUUAAAAUCUGGCGUCUUUCAGGCGUCCGAGUUGUAAUCUAUAGAGGCGUUUUCCGCGCCGGACCGCGUCCAAGUCUCUUGGAAUAGAGUAUCAAAGAGGGUGACAAUCCCGUACUUGACGCGACAACCGGUGCUCUGUGAUACGUUCUCAAUGAGUCGAGUUGUUUGGGAAUGCAGCUCUAAAUGGGUGGUAAAUUCCAUCUAAGGCUAAAUAUUGGCGAGAGACCGAUAGCGAACAAGUACCGUGAGGGAAAGAUGAAAAGCACUUUGGAAAGAGAGUUAAACAGCACGUGAAAUUGUUAAAAGGGAAACGAUUGAAGUCAGUCGUGUGAAAGGUAUUCAGCCGUCUCUGGCGGUGUAUUUGCCUUUCACGGGUCAACAUCAGUUUGAUCCGGUAGAAAAAGGCGGGAGGAAGGUGGCACCCUCGGGUGUGUUAUAGCCUCCUGUCAUAUGUGCCGGACCAGACUGAGGAACGCAGCUUGCCGCAAGGCCGGGGUUCGCCCACGUACAAGCUUAGGAUGUUGACAUAAUGGCUUUAAACGACCCGUCUUG
rnacentral:rRNA from 1 species